AACACGAAUGUCUCGCGUUUGACGUGAUGACGGAAACGGCGGUAAACGUCGGUGUGGCGUCCUCUUAAUAAUAAUAUCGGUCGAAACUGUAGUCUUAUUAAUUCGUCGUUAUAAAAUACAAUAAUCCCCGGAACGUAUGGUUCGCAGGUUCUCGACGAUGUUAAAAAAUCAACCGUGUCUCGAAAAGCUUGCGCGGCGGUCGGAUAACGGUCGUGUAUUUUUUCCUGAAAGGAACGUAGGAAUUAAAAUACUAUUAUACCCCCGACGUGGUGGUGUUUGUUUGCGCGUCCGAUCGGAAACGAAUUUCUCGUU